rnacentral:rRNA from 1 species
UACGUAGGGUGCAAGCGUUAAUCGGAAUUACUGGGCGUAAAGCGUGCGCAGGCGGUGAUGUAAGACAGGGGUGAAAUCCCCGGGCUUAACCUGGGAACUGCAUUUGUGACUGGCAAGCUAGAGUAUGGCAGAGGGGGGUAGAAUUCCACGGGUAGCAGUGAAAUGCGUAGAGAUGUGGAGGAAUACCGAUGGCGAAGGCAGCCCCCUGGGCCAAUACUGACGCUCAUGCACGAAAGCGUGGGGAGCAAACAGG